rnacentral:rRNA from 1 species
GACGAACGCUGGCGGCGUGCUUAACACAUGCAAGUCGAACGGAAAGGCCCUGCUUUUGUGGGGUGCUCGAGUGGCGAACGGGUGAGUAACACGUGAGUAACCUGCCCUUGACUUUGGGAUAACUUCAGGAAACUGGGGCUAAUACCGGAUAGGAGCUCCUGCUGCAUGGUGGGGGUUGGAAAGUUUCGGCGGUUGGGGAUGGACUCGCGGCUUAUCAGCUUGUUGGUGGGGUAGUGGCUUACCAAGGCUUUGACGGGUAGCCGGCCUGAGAGGGUGACCGGCCACAUUGGGACUGAGAUACGGACCAGACUCCUACGGGAGGCAGCAGUGGGGAAUAUUGCACGAUGGGCGGAAGCCUGAUGCAGCAACGCCGCGUGCGGGAUGACGGCCUUCGGGUUGUAAACCGCUUUCGCCUGUGACGAAGCGUGAGUGACGGUAAUGGGUAAAGAAGCACCGGCUAACUACGUG